rnacentral:rRNA from 1 species
GCCUCAGUAACGGCGAGUGAAGCGGCAACAGCUCAAAUUUGAAAUCUGACCCCUUCGGGGCCCGAGUUGUAAUUUGUAGAGGAUGUUUCGGGUGCGGCGCCGGUCUAAGUUCCUUGGAACAGGACGUCAUAGAGGGUGAGAAUCCCGUAUGCGACCGGCGAUCAACCCCAUGUGAAACCCCUUCGACGAGUCGAGUUGUUUGGGAAUGCAGCUCAAAAUGGGUGGUAAAUUUCAUCUAAAGCUAAAUACUGGCCAGAGACCGAUAGCGCACAAGUAGAGUGAUCGAAAGAUGAAAAGCACUUUGGAAAGAGAGUCAAACAGUACGUGAAAUUGUUGAAAGGGAAGCGCUUGCAACCAGACCUGCCCCUGGGCGAUCAGCCGUUAUUCUUAGCGGUGCACUCGUCCUUGUUCAGGCCAGCAUCGGUUCGGGCGGCCGGAUAAAGGCCCCGGGAAUGUAGCUUCCUUCGGGGAGUCUUAUAGCCCGGGGUGCAAUGCGGCCAGCCCGGACCGAGGACCGCGCUUCGGCUAGGAUGCUGGCAUAAUGGUUGUAAGCGACCCGUCUUGA